GGCCCGGUGGCGGACGGUCCGCACCUGUUUAUUGUUGAUACGCCGUUCGCGAGAGCAUACGCAGGGACGCUCGUUCGACUCGAGCUCGGGCCU